rnacentral:rRNA from 1 species
AGUGAACGCUGGCGGUAGGCCUAACACAUGCAAGUCGAACGGCAGCACAGUAAGAGCUUGCUCUUACGGGUGGCGAGUGGCGGGCGGGUGAGGAAUACAUCGGAAUCUACUUUUUCGUGGGGGAUAACGUAGGGAAACUUACGCUAAUACCGCAUACGACCUACGGGUGAAAGCAGGGGAUCUUCGGACCUUGCGCGAUUGAAUGAGCCGAUGUCGGAUUAGCUAGUUGGCGGGGUAAAGGCCCACCAAGGCGACGAUCCGUAGCUGGUCUGAGAGGAUGAUCAGCCACACUGGAACUGAGACACGGUCCAGACUCCUACGGGAGGCAGCAGUGGGGAAUAUUGGACAAUGGGCGCAAGCCUGAUCCAGCCAUACCGCGUGAGUGAAGAAGGCCUUCGGGUUGUAAAGCCCUUUUGUUGGGAAAGAAAAGCAGCAGGUUAAUACCCCGCUGUUCUGACGGUACCCAAAGAAUAAGCACCGGCUAACUUCGUG